GAGGUUUCUUACUUAUCCAGGUCCCACUUAACCAAGUUCUACUGUAUUAUAUAAAAUAUUGGCCAAAAA